GUGCUGGUCCAGAAAAUUCUUUUCGCUUCGAAUAGGACUAUUAUUUAACUCAAAUUCGCAACGAAAAUUGGCAGAAAAUGUUCCUUGAACCAAGCUGUGAUGGAUAAACAUGAAAAGUGCCAGGGAAACAAGCUUUUGUAACUAAAACUCCGUUUUGACAUCACUUUCAUCAUAAUCUGAAUAAAAAUAAUAAUAAUAUAAAAA